rnacentral:RNase_P_RNA from 1 species
UGAGUCGGCCGGGCGGCCGCGUCGGGAGUGUUCCCGCCGAGGAAAGUCCGGACUCCGACAGGGCAAGGUGGUGGCUAACGGCCACCCGGGGUGACCCGCGGGACAGUGCCACAGAAAGCAAACCGCCGUCGGUGAGAGCCGACGGUAAGGGUGAAACGGUGUGUGUAAGAGACCACCAGCACGCCAGGUGACUGGCGUGGCUAGGUAAACCCCACCUGGAGCAAGAUCAGACAGUGUGCGUUCGAGGGCGGCCCGUCCGAGCACGCGGGUAGAUCGCUGGAGGCGGCUGGCAACAGUCGUCGUAGAUGGAUGGUCGCCACGUGUCGCCCGAGAGGGCGGCGCCAUACAAAAUCCGGCUUACAGGCCGACUCAUCCA